GAUGAACGCUGGCGGCGUGCCUAAUACAUGCAAGUCGAGCGAAUGGAUUGAGAGCUUGCUCUUAUGAAGUUAGCGGCGGACGGGUGAGUAACACGUGGGUAACCUGCCCAUAAGACUGGGAUAACUCCGGGAAACCGGGGCUAAUACCGGAUAACAUUUUGAACCGCAUGGUUCGAAAUUGAAAGGCGGCUUCGGCUGUCACUUAUGGAUGGACCCGCGUCGCAUUAGCUAGUUGGUGAGGUAACGGCUCACCAAGGCAACGAUGCGUAGCCGACCUGAGAGGGUGAUCGGCCACACGGGGACUGAGAGACGGCCCAGACUUCUGCGGGAGGCAGCAGUAGGGAAUCUUCCGAAAUGGACGAAAGUCUGACGGAGCGACGGCGCGUGAGUGAUGAAGGCUUUCGGGUCGUAAAACUCUGUCGUUAGGGAAGAACAAGUGCUAGUUGAAUAAGCUGGCACCUUGACGGUACCUAACCAGAAAGCCACGGCUAACUACGUGCCAGCCGCCGCGGUAA
rnacentral:rRNA from 1 species